rnacentral:rRNA from 1 species
CCUACGGGAGGCAGCAGUGAGGAAUAUUGGUCAAUGGCCGCAGGGCUGAACCAGCCAAGUCGCGUGAGGGAUGACGGUCCUAUGGAUUGUAAACCUCUUUUGUCAGGGAGCAAAGGGCGCCACGUGUGGCGCUUUGCGAGUCCCUGAAGAAAAAGCAUCGGCUAACUCCGUGCCAGCAGCCGCGGUAAUACGGAGGAUGCGAGCGUUAUCCGGAUUUAUUGGGUUUAAAGGGUGCGCAGGCGGAAUGUCAAGUCAGCGGUAAAAUUUCGGGGCUCAACCCCGUCGUGCCGUUGAAACUGGCGUUCUUGAGUGAGCGAGAAGUAUGCGGAAUGCGUGGUGUAGCGGUGAAAUGCAUAGAUAUCACGCAGAACUCCGAUUGCGAAGGCAGCAUACCGGCGCUCAACUGACGCUCAUGCACGAAAGCGUGGGUAUCGAACAGGAUUAGAUAUCCCAGUAGUC